rnacentral:rRNA from 1 species
AUUGAACGCUGGCGGCAGGCCUAACACAUGCAAGUCGAGCGGAUGAUGGGAGCUUGCUCCUUGAUUCAGCGGCGGACGGGUGAGUAAUGCCUAGGAAUCUGCCUGGUAGUGGGGGACAACGUUUCGAAAGGAACGCUAAUACCGCAUACGUCCUACGGGAGAAAGCAGGGGACCUUCGGGCCUUGCGCUAUCAGAUGAGCCUAGGUCGGAUUAGCUUGUUGGUGAGGUAAUGGCUCACCAAGGCGACGAUCCGUAACUGGUCUGAGAGGAUGAUCAGUCACACAGUAACUGAGACACGGUCCAGACUCCUACGGGAGGCAGCAGUGGGGAAUAUUGGACAAUGGGCGAAAGCCUGAUCCAGCCAUGCCGCGUGUGUGAAGAAGGUCUUCGGAUUGUAAAGCACUUUAAGUUGGGAGGAAGGGUUGUAGAUUAAUACUCUGCAAUUUUGACGUUACCGACAGAAUAAGCACCGGCUAACUCUGUGCCAGCAGCCGCCGUAAGAC